GGGGAAUUUUCCGCAAUGGGCGAAAGCCUGACGGAGCAAUACCGCGUGAGGGAUGACGGCCUAUGGGUUGUAAACUUCUUUUUUCAGGGAGGAAUAAAUGACGUGUACCUGAAGAAUAAGCAUCGGCUAACUCCGUGCCAGCAGCCGCGGUAAGACGGAGGAUGCAAGUGUUAUCCGGAAUCACUGGGCGUAAAGCGUCUGUAGGUGGUCAAAUAAGUCAACUGUUAAAUCUUGAGGCUCAACCUCAAAAUCGCAGUCGAAACUAUUCGACUAGAGUAUAGUAGGGGUAAAGGGAAUUUCCAGUGGAGCGGUGAAAUGCGUAGAGAUUGGAAGGAACACCGAUGGCGAAGGCACUUUACUGGGCUAUUACUAACACUCAGAGACGAAAGCUAGGGUAGCAAAUGGGAUUAGAUACCCCAGUAGUC
rnacentral:rRNA from 1 species